AUUGAGCGCUGGCGGAAUGCUUUACACAUGCAAGUCGAGCGGCAGCACGGGGGCAACCCUGGUGGCGAGCGGCGAACGGGUGAGUAAUACAUCGGAACAUGCCCAGUCGUGGGGGAUAACACUUCGAAAGAAGUGCUAAUACCGCAUACGUCCUGAGGGAGAAAGCGGGGGAUCUUCGGACCUCGCGCGAUUGGAGUGGCCGAUGUCAGAUUAGCUAGUUGGUGGGGUAAAGGCCUACCAAGGCAACGAUCUGUAGCUGGUCUGAGAGGAUGAUCAGCCACACUGGGACUGAGACACGGCCCAGACUCCUACGGGAGGCAGCAGUGGGGAAUUUUGGACAAUGGGGCAACCCUGAUCCAGCCAUUCCGCGUGAGUGAAGAAGGCCUUCGGGUUGUAAAGCUCUUUCGGCAGGAACGAAACGGCGAGCUCUAACAUAGCUUGCUAAUGACGGUACCUGAAGAAGAAGCACCGGCUAACUACGUGCCAGCCGCCGCGGUAAAAC
rnacentral:rRNA from 1 species